CAUUCUAUGGUGUUCACUAAAGUUUUCAGACCCCUCUAAGAAAUGCUCAAGAGCAUAGCUGAAGAGCACACCCCUGAAAUUCUGGGAGGUUCCAAGCAUUCCUGAGGCAGAUGUGGCCUGCUCCGGCUGCCUCAGGCUCCUCUUGCUGUCUUUCCCAUCAUGAUGGACUGAAAGACCCCCGAAGGGAGACCCUCACUCAAGCCUCGGGACAGCCGCGGACCCAAGAAGACACUGAGACCGAANNNNNNNNNNNNNNNGCCUCUGUGGUGGAAAGUCUGCACGGCGUGGGAGUGCACUCAUUUACCCAGUCAGAAGCAAGCAGCGCUGUGUACCUGGCUUUGACUGGAGGUUGAGACUCUGCAGUGACAGCCCUAGAACUCACUUCUUCAUCAGGAAGAAAGCAUCAAGGACAGCCCCACCCGCAUGUGGCUUCCUGUAUCUGCCAUGAAGCACCGCAGACAUUUAAAAGGAGGAAAGGCUUAUUUUAGUCACGGUCCCAGAACUUUCAUCCCUGAGCUGCUUGACCGGUUGCCUCUGUGGUGGGUUCAAAUGCCGUGGUGGGAGUAUGUGGUGGAGCAAAGCUGUUCAUGCUACUCACGGAGGCCAGGGGAGAAAAGGCAAGGGGGUGGGAAGUGGGCCCCAAUAUCUGCCUAAAGACCUGUACCAAUGAUAUAGUUCUAUUAGUUCCAGAUGCUGCUAUGUUCCCAACUACCCCCAUAGCGACACUGUGUAGGUCCCAGGGACUUAAGUCACCAGGCUUGGUGUUAGGUGCUUUUGCUCUCUGAUCACCUCUCUCCAGCAUGAACAUUAUCUAUUAGGGUAUGGGAAGGAAUGAAAAUAAAUACUUAUGCUAACUAUACCAUCCUUACCUAAACCUUUGCUAAAAAUACUAAAUAAUCCACAUUUUCUCCCAACAUAAAAAGAUUACCUUUCUCGUCUACUACAUUUUUAUAUUCAUUGGGCUGUAGUUUGGAAUUCUUUGUCUAAAAGUCUAACUUGUCAAGGUCAUGUUUAUUGUAUUAUAACACCUUUCCC
ensembl:lincRNA 8030442B05Rik RIKEN cDNA 8030442B05 gene